ACACCCAUCGUCUAGCGGUCCAGGACACCAGUCUGAUACAGUCAGCUGGCAACGGAGAUUCGAAUUCUCCUGGGUGUA